rnacentral:lncRNA from 1 species
UGAGUUACUAUUCACGAGUUACUAUUCACGAUUUAUUAUUCACGAGUUACUAUUCAUGAGUUACUAUUUAUGAGUUACUAUUUACGAGUUACUAUUCACGGGUACUAUUCACUACAAAAUUGGUUUGUUUUUCUAACCAAAGUAUAGUUGAUUUAUGAAUAUUACUCUGGAGAUUAAAAAUAUGUAUUGAUUAUAUUGAUUUUAUUAUCAUAUAUAACAUUUUUAUAACCUUGAUGUUGAAAUUCUCUUUUUACUGGAGUGUAAAGAUGGGUAAAUUAUUGGUAUGAUCAUGACUAAGGUUCUCUUUGGCCAGUAGUGCAAAGUUGAAUUGUUGACUGGUAUGAUCAUGACCAUUGAAUUUAUAAUUGAAUAUCUUUAGCUUAAGUGCAAAGGUGAAUUGAUCAACAUGGUUAUAAUUAUUGUUUAUAUAAAUUCUGAAAUGAUUAUGUAUUUCUUUGAGAUAUGAAUGUCUUUGGCCUGUAGUGCAAAGAUGACCUGUUGUUGAAUAUCUUUGGCCUGUAGUGCAAAGAUGAACUGUUAAUGAAUAUCUUUGGCCCGUAGUGCAAAGAUGAAUUUAUUAGUAUGAUUAUGAACAGGAACUGUGAUUUGGUAUAACCAUGAUCUUUGAUAUUUCAGGUAAAGACAGGUGAUAAAAAUUAACUUUGUCCUGGAUGAGGAAAGGAAUUUAGAACUACAAUUACGAUUAUGAGUUAUACAUGUGAUUGUGGACAGGAAUUGUUGAUUGAUGUUACAGGGAUAAAACAUUGUUGGUGGACUUUUAACAUGGAGAAGAUAAUAGACUUUAUAGUCUAUUUGACUCUUCUAAUGGAUUGCUCGUUCCGCUGCAACUAUGGUUGAAAUUUUUUUAUCAUCUACCAUAUGUUCUAAAUCUCUGAUUUAUUAUUGAUGAAGGCUAUUGAUAAUUUAAUUAUUUUUAGUCAUGAUAUUCUUUACUGAGCUAGUUGUGCUCACCCUUUUACAUCACAAUUCCUUUCAGGUAAUACGAGUGUAGCUGGGUCGAGCGGGGGUAACAGGGGAAUAGAACGGUGGUCAUCAUUUAGUAGUUAUAUUUGUUGAAUGAAAUAGGGUGAAACGAACCCAACGUUGGAAGGGUGUUUUACCACUAUCAUACAAGAUGUCUAAUGACAUACAACCUCGUAUCGUCAUAAGACAGGGUUGUGCUCAUCCACUUGCUGAGUAUAUUUACAAACACUAUCUAUAUAAUCUUGGUGUUUGUUUGGAGUUUAAUUCCCAAUUAGAGACAGUGGAGAUAAUGAUAUGUCAAGAGAAGACUCACCAUUGGGAAGAAUGUGAUAGUAAUCUUCCCGUUUUUCUUUGGGGUCUAUUGGGUCAACCAAGGAUAAUUCUGUAGGCAUAUGAUAUCUAUCAUUCAUGGCCUCCCAUGUACGAAGGUUUCCUUGAGUACUUCCCAAAGAUUCUAAUUUCUAAAACAGUUUUCGACUAUACCUUUAUGUAAGGUGUCAUUAUGAGGUGUUGUCCACGGUUGGGACAUGAGUCACAGUUGGUAUAUAUUUGUAUUUAAAUUCACAGUUUAAGUGUUGUCAUAUCUUGCACGACAAUUGUAUUAAUAAAGUUGUAGUUGUUUUCUGUACCAUGUAUUUGGCGACUCAGAAUGGGUUGGUUGGAUUGGACCUAUUUUGGGGUUGUCACAACUGCUAUGUUUAAACACCUUGCUUCCUUCACAUUGAAG